ensembl:processed_transcript
GCCAUCUUUAUAACCCAGCCGGCACACGACCGACCUUCAACGUUGAAAUAUGGUUGAAAUAAGGUCAGAUGUGUUUUGAACGUUGAAAUAAUGUUGAUAGAACGUUUAAUGUUGAACGGUUGAAAAACAGCCUGCAUAUGACAAGGCUUCAACGUUGAAAUGUGGUUGAAAAUACGUCAGUUGUUGCUAUAAUGUUGAAACGAUGUUGAAUGAUAAAUGGUUGAAAAAAGUUACAGAAAUCCUUGUACAAAUCAACGUUGACAUUUUUUUAUCAUGGUCUGUAUGUUGAAUUAACGUCAUGGCUUCACCCAAUAUUCAACAUGUUUGGUUACCAUGGUAUCGGAGGACUCGGCGCACGCGGCCACGCGCAGCGCUUCACUUCACUUAAUUACGAACACCUGACCUGCAGUGCAGCAGAAUUCAGAGACAUGUAACUUACUCCAGAGACUCACUAACUUGCACAGCAUUGAAUGGAAAAGGCUUUGUCCAUGUCCAGUUGAGGGGCAUCAAGAACACGCAGAUAGCCUACCUGGACAGACUGCAGUUCUGCUACUCCAUGCCAAGGCUUUUGUAUGGAUGUCUGACUACUACUGUGUUCUCUAAAGGUUUUCUGGAAGCUCCAGUUGAGGGCGUCAAGGACAAACCGAUGGCCUAAACAAGUGUCAGCCUGGACAGACAGACAGACAUCUAUUGCAGUUCUGCUACACAAGACCAAACUCUCUGCUUUUGUAUGGAUGUCUGACUAGUACGGUGUUCUCUGAAGGUAUUACUGGAGCAAAACGACAGCACCCGUUACAGUGAAAUUUGUGUUCAUUAAAGAUAGUGAUAUGUGUAACAGGUCCAGUAAAUUUGUCAUAAAGGUUAAAUCACAGUAAGUACUGUAAAAAUAACUUGUUUGCCUUUGCCACAACAGGUCAUGGUGUGUGCUUACUGCUUGUAGUAAACACACACGCUGAUCUGAUGCGGGAGAGAUAUACGCAAACACAUUUGUAAUUACUGUUUUGUUUUGCCUCACUCAAGUGUUGUUGGAGCUUGGUAUGUUCACAGUUGAAAUCACUGAAGUCACAUGGAACGUUUUGACAAUGUGUUUGUGCCUUAUCUGGACAACAACCAUCUUGGGACCAUUGCUGUCUGUAGAGGAUGAGGAGCAUUUAAUCUAAAAUAUUUUAGUUUGUGUUCUGAAGAUUAACAGGUCUCUG